UUUCGAAGCAUAACAAUAGCAAAUGAAACAUUUCGGAGCAUAUCGAAGGCGUAUGAAAUGUUUCGGAGCAUAUCAAUAACAAAUGGGACAUUUCGAAACAUAUCUAUGGCAUAUGGACCAUUUCGGAGCAUAUCAAUGAACGAAUACGAAAUAGAAGCUCAAACGUCGAAUUGACGUUGCAUUCAUUUCAUUCUUAUCCAAAGCAUAUAUAGAAACACAUAACCAAAGCUCUGGAUAUCAUAUCAAACAUACAGAAGGUGAAGUGGGACCAUAACAUAAUAUGGUACAUCCAUUUCUGAAUGACCACCAAACAUAAGUCUCCCACGUCUGGGAGGUCUCCCACGUCUGGGAGCUCCAUCCACCCACGUCUGAGUGAAGUCAUAAGGGCCGGCAGAGCAUCACAGGCUCUAUGCAUAACUCCCUUCACCAUUUCUAGCAAAGGUUCACAAUAUCCCACAAACACCAGAGUACAAAAGGAUAGUAUGAACAAUGAAUAGCACAUAUCGGAAGCACACGCGGAACAAUAAAACGUACAUGUGCCUUUACAAGUCA
rnacentral:lncRNA from 1 species